rnacentral:rRNA from 1 species
UACGUAGGGUGCAAGCGUUUGUCCGGAAUUAUUGGGCGUAAAGAGCUCGUAGGCGGUCUUCCAAGUCAGUGGUGAAAGCCCGGGAGCUCAACUCCGGAAUUGCCAUUGAAACUGUUGGACUUUGAGGAUGAGAGAGGUGAGUGGAAUUCCCAGUGUAGAGGUGAAAUUCGUAGAUAUUGGGAAGAACACCGGUGGCGAAGGCGGCUCACUGGCUCAUUACUGACGCUCAGGCGCGAUAGCGUGGGGAUCAAACAGG